GUGUUAUACAGCGAAACUGCGAAUGGCUCAUUAAAACAGUUAUAGUUUAUUUGAUAAUCGAAUUUACAUGGAUAACCGUGGUAAUUCUAGAGCUAAUACAUGCUGGUAGGCCCGACUUUUGCGGAAGGGCGGUAUUUAUUAGAUAACAAGCCAAUAUUCCUCUGGUUUAUUGUGGUGACUCAUAAUAACUGAUCGAAUCGCAAGGCCUUUGGCCGCGAUAGGUCAUUCAAGUUUCUGCCCCAUCAGCUUUCGAUGGUAGUGUAUUGGACUACCAUGGCGUUUACGGGUAACGGAGGAUUAGGGUUCGAUUCCGGGGAGGGAGCCUGAGAAACGGCUACCACAUCUAAGGAAGGCAGCAGGCGCGUAAAUUACCCAAUCCUGACUCAGGGAGGUAGUGACAAGAAAUAACGGACCGAGGCCUUCGGGCUUCGGGAUUGGAAUGAGCCGAAUUUACACCCCUUAGCGAAGAUCGAUUGGAGGGCAAGUCUGGUGCCAGCAGCCGCGGUAAUUCCAGCUCCAAUAGCGUAUAUUAAAGUUGUUGCAGUUAAAAAGCUCGUAGUUGGAUUUCUGGGAGGGUGCCGAUGUCCACUUAACGUGUGCGCAGCGGCGCCCUCUCAUCCUUCUGUUAGCGUCUCUUGGCAUUCAUUUGCUGGUGGCGGGCUCAGAUAUUUUACCUUGAGAAAAUUAGAGUGUUUCAGGCAGGCUAGGCCGGAGUACAUUAGCAUGGAAUAAUGGAAUAGGACUACGGUCUCUUUGUUGGUUUGAGGGACUGCAGUAAUGAUUAAUAG
rnacentral:rRNA from 1 species